rnacentral:tRNA from 1 species
GCCCACAUGGCGAAAUUGGUAAACGUUGCGGUCUCAGAAGCCGUUGGAGCAAUCCCUGGGAGUUCGAGUCUCCCUGUGGGCA